GGAAAGGCACUCAGGUUGGGUAGAGCAUCGGACUCAUAAUCUGACGGUCGAAGGUUCGAAUCCUUCUCCA
rnacentral:tRNA from 1 species